rnacentral:rRNA from 1 species
AGGACGAACGCUGGCGGCGUGCUUAACACAUGCAAGUCGAACGGUGAAAGGGAGCUUGCUCCCUGGAUCAGUGGCGAACGGGUGAGUAACACGUGGGCAACCUGCCCCUGACACUGGGAUAACUCCGGGAAACCGGGGCUAAUACCGGAUAUGACUUGGCCUCGCAUGGGGUUGGGUGGAAAGUUUUUCGGUCUGGGAUGGGCUCGCGGCCUAUCAGCUUGUUGGUGGGGUGAUGGCCUACCAAGGCGACGACUGGUAC